rnacentral:rRNA from 1 species
UGGAGUUGCCGUGACAACCAGGAGGUUGGCUUAGAAGCAGCCACCCUUUAAAGAGUGCGUAAUAGCUCACUGGUCAAGUGAUUCCGCGCCGACAAUGUAGCGGGGCUCAAGCACACCACCGAAGCUGUGGCAUUGACACACUGCCUGGCCCCUUGUGGGUCCAAGCGUGUUGAUGGGUAGGGGAGCGUCGUGUGGCGAGUGAAGCGGCGGAGUGAUCCAGUCGUGGAUGCCACACGAGUGAGAAUGCAGGCAUGAGUAGCGAAAGACGGGUGAGAAACCCGUCCGCCGAAUAUCCAAGGGUUCCAGGGUCAAGCUAAUCUGCCCUGGGUAAGUCGGGACCUAAGGCGAGGCCGACAGGCGUAGUCGAUGGACAUCCGGUUGAUAUUCCGGAACCGGCGAAGAACCGCCCCUGAUGAAUCCAGUGAUGCUAAACGUCUGAAGCUGGCCGCAGACACCUUCGGGUGUCACUGGCCAGUGGAACGCGUGACCCGAUCUGGUAGUAGUCAAGCGAUGGGGAGACGCAGGAAGGUAGCCUCCGCGUGGCGAUGGUUGUCCACGUCCAAGGGUGUAGGGAGUCAGGUAGGCAAAUCCGCCUGGCACAUAUCCUGAGACCUGAUAGUGACCGCCUAUGGCGGGAAGCAGGGUGAUCCUAUGCUGCCGAGAAAAUCCUCUAGCGAGGUUCUAGCCGCCCGUACCCCAAACCGACUCAGGUGGAUAAGUAGAGAAUACUAAGGCGAUCGAGUGAAUCGUGGUUAAGGAAUUCGGCAAAAUGCCCCCGUAACUUCGGGAGAAGGGGGGCCCGGAUUCUGAAGCCCCUUGCGGGCUAGGAAGAUGGGCCGCAGAGACCAGGGAGAAGCGACUGUUUACUAAAAACACAGGUCCGUGCGAAGUCGCAAGACGAUGUAUACGGACUGACGCCUGCCCGGUGCUGGAAGGUUAAGAGGACUGGUUAGCCCCUUGUGGGCGAAGCUGAGAAUUUAAGCCCCAGUAAACGGCGGUGGUAACUAUAACCAUCCUAAGGUAGCGAAAUUCCUUGUCGGGUAAGUUCCGACCUGCACGAAUGGCGUAACGACUUCUCCACUGUCUCAACCGCGAACUCGGCGAAAUUGCAUUACGAGUAAAGAUGCUCGUUACGCGCAGCAGGACGGAAAGACCCCGGGACCUUCACUAUAGCUUGGUAUUGGUGAUCGGGACGGCUUGUGUAGGAUAGGUGGGAGACUGUGAAGCAUGCACGCCAGUGUGUGUGGAGUCAUCGUUGAAAUACCACUCUGGUCGUUCUGGUUGUCUAACCUCGGUCCGUGAUCCGGAUCAGGGACAUUGCCUGGUGGGUAGUUUAACUGGGGCGGUUGCCUCCUAAAAUGUAACGGAGGCGCUCAAAGGUUCCCUCAGCCUGGUUGGCAAUCAGGUGGCGAGUGCAAGUGUACAAGGGAGCUUGACUGCGAGACAGACAUGUCGAGCAGGGACGAAAGUCGGAACUAGUGACCCGACGGUGGCUUGUGGAAGCGCCGUCGCUCAACGGAUAAAAGGUACCCCGGGGAUAACAGGCUGAUCUUCCCCAAGAGUCCAUAUCGACGGGAUGGUUUGGCACCUCGAUGUCGGCUCGUCGCAUCCUGGGGGUGGAGUAUCUCCCAAGGGUUGGGCUGUUCGCCCAUUAAAGCGGCACGCGAGCUGGGUUUAGAACGUCGUGAGACAGUUCGGUCCCUAUCCGCUGUGCGCGUAGGAAACUUGAGAGAGGCUGACCCUAGUACGAGAGGACCGGGUUGGACGAACCUCUGGUGUGUGAGUUGUUCUGCCAAGGGCACCGCUCAUUAGCUACGUUCGGGAGUGAUAACCGCUGAAAGCAUCUAAGCGGGAAGCAUGUCUCAAGAUGAGGUUUCCAUGGGGCUUUGCCCUGAGAGGCUCCCAGUAGACGACUGGGUUGAUAGGCCAGAUGUGGAAGUGCAGCAAUGCAUGGAGCUGACUGGUACUAAUAAGCCGAUGACUUGACA